rnacentral:rRNA from 1 species
GGGGAAUAUUGGACAAUGGGCGCAAGCCUGAUCCAGCCAUGCCGCGUGAGUGAUGAAGGUCUUAGGAUUGUAAAGCUCUUUCACCGAUGAAGAUAAUGACGGUAGUCGGAGAAGAAGCCCCGGCUAACUUCGUGCCAGCAGCCGCGGUAAUACGAAGGGGGCUAGCGUUGUUCGGAAUUACUGGGCGUAAAGCGCACGUAGGCGGAUAUUUAAGUCAGGGGUGAAAUCCCGCAGCUCAACUGCGGAACUGCCUUUGAUACUGGGUAUCUCGAGUAUGGAAGAGGUGAGUGGAAUUCCGAGUGUAGAGGUGAAAUUCGUAGAUAUUCGGAGGAACACCAGUGGCGAAGGCGGCUCACUGGUCCAUUACUGACGCUGAGGUGCGAAAGCGUGGGGAGCAAAC